UAUAUUCACUACUGUAAGUCGCUCUGGAUAAGAGCGUCUGCUAAAUGACAAAAA
rfam:Salmo salar isolate Sally breed double haploid chromosome ssa11, whole genome shotgun sequence.